rnacentral:rRNA from 1 species
ACCCGCUGAACUUAAGCAUAUCAAUAAGCGGAGGAAAAGAAACUAACAAGGAUUCCCCUAGUAACGGCGAGUGAACCGGGAAGAGCUCAAAUUUGAAAUCUGGCAGUCUUCGAUUGUCCGAGUUGUAAUCUAUAGAAGCGUUUUCCGUGCUGAACUGUGUAUAAGUCCCUUGGAACAGGGUAUCAAAGAGGGUGACAAUCCCGUACUUUACACAAUCAUCAGUGCUCUGUGAUACGUUCUCUACGAGUCGAGUUGUUUGGGAAUGCAGCUCAAAAUGGGUGGUAAAUUCCAUCUAAAGCUAAAUAUUGGCGAGAGACCGAUAGCGAACAAGUACCGUGAGGGAAAGAUGAAAAGCACUUUGGAAAGAGAGUUAAACAGUACGUGAAAUUGUUGAAAGGGAAACGAAAUUCAUGAAUCAUGUUUAUUGGACUCAGCCGUUCUUCGGUGUACUUCCUUUAAACGGGUCAACAUCAGUUUUGUCCGAUGGAUAAAGGUAGUAGGAAGGUGGCUCUCUCGGGAGUGUUAUAGCCUAUUGCUGCAUACAUUGGAUGAGACUGAGGACUGCAGCUUGCCUUUAUGGCCGGGGUCGCCCAC